rnacentral:rRNA from 1 species
UGGGGAAUAUUGGACAAUGGGGGGAACCCUGAUCCAGCCAUGCCGCGUGUGUGAAGAAGGCCUUAUGGUUGUAAAGCACUUUAAGCGAGGAGGAGGGUACUGGUAUUAAUACUACCAGGUACUGGACGUUACUCGCAGAAUAAGCACCGGCUAACUCUGUGCCAGCAGCCGCGGUAAUACAGAGGGUGCGAGCGUUAAUCGGAUUUACUGGGCGUAAAGCGUGCGUAGGCGGCUAAUUGAGUCGGAUGUGAAAUCCCCGAGCUUAACUUGGGAAUUGCAUUCGAUACUGGUUAGCUAGAGUGUGGGAGAGGAUGGUAGAAUUCCAGGUGUAGCGGUGAAAUGCGUAGAGAUCUGGAGGAAUACCGAUGGCGAAGGCAGCCAUCUGCCCUAACACUGACGCUGAGGUACGAAAGCAUGGGGAGCAAACAGG